rnacentral:rRNA from 1 species
GAUGAACGCUGGCGGCGUGCCUAAUACAUGCCAGUCGAGCGAACAGACGAGGAGCUUGCUCCUCUGACGUUAGCGGCGGACGGGUGAGUAACACGUGGAUAACCUACCUAUAAGACUGGGAUAACUUCGGGAAACCGGAGCUAAUACCGGAUAAUAUAUUGAACCGCAUGGUUCAAUAGUGAAAGACGGUUUUGCUGUCACUUAUAGAUGGAUCCGCGCCGCAUUAGCUAGUUGGUAAGGUAACGGCUUACCAAGGCAACGAUGCGUAGCCGACCUGAGAGGGUGAUCGGCCACACUGGAACUGAGCCACGGUCCAGACUCCUACGGGAGGCAGCAGUAGGGAAUCUUCCGCAAUGGGCGAAAGCUUGACGGAGCAACGCCGCGUGAGUGAUGAAGGUCUUCGGAUCGUAAAACUCUGUUAUUAGGGAAGAACAAAUGUGUAAGUAACUAUGCACGUCUUGACGGUACCUAAUCAGAAAGCCACGGCUAACUACGUG